rnacentral:rRNA from 1 species
GGGUCAGUAGGUUGGUCGUGCCACCGGUACGUACUGGUCUCACUGAUUCCUCCUUCCUGAAGAACCGUAAUGCCGUUAAUUUGGUGUUGCGGGGAAACAGGACUGUUACUUUGAAAAAAUUAGAGUGCUUAAAGCAAGCUAACGCUUGAAUACAUUAGCAUGGAAUAAUGAAAUAGGACGAUCGAUCCUAUUUUGUUGGUUUCUAGGAUUGACGUA